rnacentral:rRNA from 1 species
CCUACGGGAGGCAGCAGUGGGGAAUAUUGCGCAAUGGGCGAAAGCCUGACGCAGUGACGCCGCGUGUGGGAUGACGGCCUUCGGGUUGUAAACCACUGUCGCGAGGGACGAAGAUCUGACGGUACCUCGAAAGGAAGCACCGGCUAACUCUGUGCCAGCAGCCGCGGUAAUACAGAGGGUGCGAGCGUUGUCCGGAAUCACUGGGCGUAAAGGGCGCGUAGGUGGCCUGGUAAGUAGGGGGUGAAAUCUCGAGGCUCAACUUCGAGGCUGCCUCCUAAACUGUCAGGCUUGAGCAGAGUAGAGGCAGGUGGAAUUCCCGGUGUAGCGGUGGAAUGCGUAGAGAUCGGGAAGAACAUCGGUGGCGAAGGCGGCCUGCUGGGCUCUUGCUGACACUGAGGCGCGACAGCGUGGGGAGCAAACAGGAUUAGAUACCCUGGUAGUCCACGCCGUAAACGAUGGGUACUAGGCGCCGGGGGGAGCGACCCCUUCGGUGCCGUCGCUAACGCAAUAAGUACCCCGCCUGGGGAGUACGGCCGCAAGGCUGAAACUCAAAGGAAUUGACAG